rnacentral:tRNA from 1 species
UCCGGGGUAGCUCAACCGGCAGAGCGUUCGGCUGUUAACCGAAAUGUUGUGGGUUCGAGUCCCACCCCCGGAG